UACGUAGGCAGCAAGCGUUGUCCGGAAUUAUUGGGCGUAAAGAGCUCGUAGGCGGUCUGUCGCGUCGGCUGUGAAAUCCCGAGGCUCAACCUCGGGUCUGCAGUCGAUACGGGCAAACUAGAGUAUUGCAGGGGAGACUGGAAUUCCUGGUGUAGCGGUGGAAUGCGCAGAUAUCAGGAGGAACACCGAUGGCGAAGGCAGUUCUCUGGGCCGUAACUGACGCUGGAGGAGCGAAAGCGUGGGGAGCGAACAGG
rnacentral:rRNA from 1 species